rnacentral:misc_RNA from 1 species
UCCGGUUUGUCACCGGCAGUCUCCUUAGAGUGCCCACCAUUACGUGCUGGUAACUAAGGACAAGGGUUGCGCUCGUUGCGGGACUUAACCCAACAUCUCACAACACGAGCUGACGACAGCCAUGCAGCACCUGUCUCCACGUUCCUUUCGGCACGUCCGCAUCUCUGCAAACUUCGUGGGAUGUCAAGGGUAGGUAAGGUUCUUCGCGUUGCAUCGAAUUAAACCACAUGCUCCACCGCUUGUGCGGGCCCCCGUCAAUUCCUUUGAGUUUUAACCUUGCGGUCGUACUCCCCAGGCGGAGAACUUAUCGCGUUAGCUUCGAUACUAACAGGUCAAGCCUGCCAACAUCUAGUUCUCAUCGUUUACAGCGUGGACUAC